AUACAUCACUGAGAAGAAUGAGUGUAAUCUUACACCGUCUUAGUUCAGUCUGUAGCCUUGACAUCUAGAGAUAUGAUCAGGAUUAUAAUAAUCUUUCAGUCACUUUACUGGAUUCAAGGAGUUGCAGGGGCAAAUGAUGUCUUGCAGCCCAAUAUACUCUGGGCUAAAUUCGGCCAAUCAGUCACAAUAAACUGCUCACACACCAAGGGUUCAGCUUACAGAGAAAUGUACUGGUUUCGUCAGUAUCAAGGAGAGAGUAUGGAGCUCAUCGUGUACACUACCAGCUUUGGCACUCCAGACUUUGGAAAAUCCGACCAAAAGAAAUUUUCAGCUAUUAAAACAGUUCCUGAGAACGGCUCAUUCACAGUGAAAGACGUGGAUUAUAAUGACAACGCUGUGUAUUUCUGUGCCGUGAGAGAACACAGUGCUAUAACCACAGGGCAGAGCUGUACAAAAACACACCAUGUGUCAGUCAGGAAGGAAUAAAGACACCUGAAGGAGGCAGUAUGUGACAACAAAUUUAUUCCACUGUGAGUCAUGGUUACAGAUAGUUAUUUAUUUUAUUACAGACAAAAACUAAUCCAGACAAGAUUUUUGUGUGAUGUUAUAAAGGUUUUUUUUUUUUUUUAAUAAUCCCAAGGAGAAAGAAAUCAUUGAGCAUGAGUCUCUAAACAACUUAAAAGGUUGCAACAUUAUACUGUAAUUACAUGAUUAAUGCAACCUGUUUGA